CCUACGGGGGGCAGCAGUGGGGAAUAUUGCACAAUGGGCGCAAGCCUGAUGCAGCCAUGCCGCGUGUGUGAAGAAGGCCUUCGAGUUGUAAAGCACUUUCAGCGGGGAGGAAGGCGUUAAGGUUAAUAACCUUGUCGAUUGACGUUACCCGCAGAAGAAGCACCGGCUAACUCCGUGCCAGCAGCCGCGGUAAUACGGAGGGUGCAAGCGUUAAUCGGAAUUACUGGGCGUAAAGCGCACGCAGGCGGUCUGUCAAGUCGGAUGUGAAAUCCCCGGGCUCAACCUGGGAACUGCAUUCGAAACGGGCAGGCUAGAGUCUUGUAGAGGGGGGUAGAAUUCCAGGUGUAGCGGUGAAAUGCGUAGAGAUCUGGAGGAAUACCGGUGGCGAAGGCGGCCCCCUGGACAAAGACUGACGCUCAGGUGCGAAAGCGUGGGGAGCAAACAGGAUUAGAUACCCGAGUAGUC
rnacentral:rRNA from 1 species